AAAAUGAAGAUCAAUGGCUGAAUUCUUGUGCUAAUACACCCUCGUCAACAGACCAAAGCGGAAUGUUUAAUUACUGACAAUGGUCAAACUGAAACUUGCAGAUUGCUCGUAGGUUUAUAAAACGUACAUGAGAGCUCUAAACAACAUUUUCAUUUGUGUUUGGUUGGGGGUCAUAUUUUUUGAAGAUUGUGGUGUACAUGAAAAUGAAGAUUUGGAUCUUCAAUAAUGUUUACAGACGUGUGGUGCUCCUUAAGAUUAAAAUAAGAUAAAAAAAAAAUUUGGGGUACUUUACCUAAAACAUUGCCUAGAGAUUGUCUUUUUACUAAUACUUAUGACGUAAUGCAUUAUUUACUUUGGUAAUCGUUUCCGUUCAUUAACAUAUAUCUAUAAUCAAAUCUUCCUAAACAGAGUUUGUAAUAUUUAGAAAAAAACACAACUAAUUACUAGUGUUUCCUUCCUUGACCUAUCCUGUCAUGACUAUUACAAGACUAAACAGAUUUGUGAUAACUUUGUAUUUAGACUAUAUUUUUAUUCAUAUAUCAUUUAUAUGCUUUUCUUCCCAUUUCUGAAAAAACUUUUGAAUUUAUUUAUUAGUUAUAAAUCACCAGUGUCUGUGUAUUCAUCUUUAUGAGUUAAGUUAUUCUUGUUAUAUUUCGUGUUUUUUUUUUCAUUUACAUUUACACACAUACUUCACGUCAGGUUGUCAUAAUGAGAAAGGCCUCUGAUAUUUUGUUUUACUUUCGAUGUAGUUUUGCUAAGAUAAUGAACUUUCGUGUCUAUGAUCUUUGAGGAAUUCUAGGAUAUAAAACUGUUACGAUAUUUAGAUACAUACAAAAGAACGAAUAUAUGAGUGCCUAAGUAAUGUGAGUGUUUUGUUUGAAUCAAAUUAAGUUUGAAUCAUGAAAUUCCCGUGGAUAACAGUUUGAUAUAUUUCUAGUCAAAAGAUAAUGCUCAACUGACAUGUAUGCUGUUGUUGUUUUAUUACCUAUGCUCUGUAAUUGUUGUUUAUGGCUAAAUAAAGUUACCUGUCACAUAUAUUGACCUUGAUGCCCACUUUCAUAGAUUUCAAAAUAAAAUGUAUAGUUGUCCGCGGUAUUCCCGCGUCAUUGGUAAUUUCGCGUUAUUUCCGUUUUGCACAGCAGCGCCAUCUUGACAUUGUUUACAAACAACCUACUUUCAUUUUCAGUUCAAAUUUUAAUAAAUUUAUCCAGAAUGCAUAGAAUUUUGGUACACUAAUACAGCAAUGUUGCCUCAGGUACGAACUAAAAAUUACGGCAGUAGCUCUUUGCGUUUCCUCAGCAUUUCAGGGAGGAGACGAACUUUCAUCACUUCAAAAGUCUGAUUAAUGCCUGGAACGAUGAACCCAACAAAACAAAAACAUUUAAAAGAGGAAAUAAACUAUUUAUUGGACAAUGAUUUCAUGGAACCGAGAAACAGUAUGAGAGGUACCCAUGUAUUCUUGUUCCAAAACCUAACAAAUCUUACCGGUUGUGAACAGAAAAGUAAACAGCAUCACAAAAACUGAUUCAUUUCCUAUGCCUAGAGUUGACAACUGUACUGAUAAAGUUGGACAUGCAAAAUUAGCCACAAAACUUGAUUUGUUGAAAGGAAUUUGGCAAGUUCUCCUCACAGAUAAAACUGAACAAGUUUCGGCCAUGGUUACACAUGAAAGAUUAUUCCAGUACAAAGCCAUGCCAUUUGGUAUGAAAAUUCACUUACAACGUUUCAGUGACUUGUAAAUUUCAUUAUUUCUGGACAUAUGGAUGGGAUGGAUACAUUUACGAUGUCAUCAUAUACCAUGACACUUGGCAAAGCCAUCUGCAGGCGAUCAAGGAUUACUUCAAAAGAAGCAAAGUUGACAAUUAAUUUAUCAGACAGUGAAUUUUGUAAAGUUUGUGUCAUUUUCUUAGGUCAUGUUGUGGAACAGGGUCAAGAAAAACCCAUUGCAGCUAAGGCUGAAUCUAUCUCUGAUUUUUUCAGUUACAACCCGUGGGUGUAAAACAUCUUAUUCAUUUUUUCUUGGUAUGGUUGGAUAUUAAAGAAAUUCU
rnacentral:lncRNA from 1 species